rnacentral:miRNA from 1 species
GUCAUGGGGUAUGAUCGAAUG